AUACGUAGGGUGCAAGCGUUAAUCGGAAUUAUUGGGCGUAAAGCGCGCGCAGGUGGUUCCUUAAGUCUGAUGUGAAAGCCCCCGGCUCAACCGGGGAGGGUCAUUGGAAACUGGGGAACUUGAGUGCAGAAGAGGAUAGUGGAAUUCCAAGUGUAGCGGUGAAAUGCGUAGAGAUUUGGAGGAACACCAGUGGCGAAGGCGACUGUCUGGUCUGUAACUGACACUGAGGCGCGAAAGCGUGGGGAGCAAACAGGAUUAGAUACCCUGGUAGUCCACGCCGUAAACGAUGAGUGCUAAGUGUUGGGGGGUUUCCGCCCCUCAGUGCUGCAGCUAACGCAUUAAGCACUCCGCCUGGGGAGUACGGUCGCAAGACUGAAACUCAAAUGAAUUGACGGGG
rnacentral:rRNA from 1 species